rnacentral:rRNA from 1 species
GAUGAACGCUGGCGGCGUGCUUAACACAUGCAAGUCGAACGAACGGACGCGAAGCUUGCUUCUCUGAUGUUAGCGGCAGACGUGUGAAUCACACGUGGAUACCCUCCCUAUAAUACGGGGAAAACUACGGGAAACCGGAGCUAACACCGUAUAAUAUUUUGCACCGCAGGGUUCAAAAGUGAAAUACGGUCUUGCUGGCACUACUAGCUGCAUCCCCGCUGCAUGAGCUAGUUGGUAGGGUCACGGCUUACCAAGGGAAGUAUGGAUGUCCGACGUGAGAGGGUGAUAGGCCGCACGGGAGCUGAGACAGGGACCAGAGGCCUACGGGAGGCAGCAGUAGGGAACGGUCCGCAAUGGGCGGAAGCCUGACGGAGCAAGGCCGCGUGAGUGAUGAAGGUGUUGGGAGCGUAAAACUCGGUUAUUAGGGAAGAACCGAUGUGGAAGUAACUGUGCAGAUCUUGACGGUACCUAAUCAGAAAGCAACGGCUAACUACGUG